rnacentral:rRNA from 1 species
CCUACGGGCGGCAGCAGUGGGGAAUAUUGGACAAUGGGGGGAACCCUGAUCCAGCGACGCAGCGUGAGUGAAGAAGGAUCUCGGUAUGUAAAGCUCUAUCAGUAGGGAAGAAAAUGACGGUACCUGACUAAGAAGCAACGGCUAACGACGGGCCAGCAGCGGCGGUAAUACGGAGGGGGCAAGCGUUAUCCGGAUUUACUGGGUGUAAAGGGAGCGUAGAAGGUGGAGCAAGUCUGAUGUGCAAGGUUGGGGCCCAACCCCGGUACUGCAUUUGAAACUGUUGAACUUGAGUACAGGAGAGGUAAGCGGAAUUCCUUGUGUAGCGGUGAAAUGCUUAGAUAUUAGGAGGAACUCCAGUUGCGAAGGCGGCUUACUGGACUGUCACUGACGUUGAUGCUCGAAAGCGUGGGUAUCAAACAGGAUUAGAUACCCUUGUAGUC